AGAGGAGAGAGGAGAGGUGUCUUUGUUUUUGGUCGUUUGGUUUCUUCUCUCUCUCUCUCUCCUGCGCCAAACCCGAUCUCCGGCCAUUUCCUUCCCAUAUUCACUCAUCUUCUCCGUCUCCAUCUCCUCUUACAAGUCAAUUCCGUAUACGUACCUAAACCCCAUGAACCGAUUUGUCUCUCUGGUCUUAUCGGAACCGGUUUGGUGGCUGCAACAUUCAUAGCGGCAGGACCAGAUAGUACUGCUAUGGCGGCGGUUGAUUCUCUUCAGCUAACCGAACCCGCUAACGCAUUGUCUCUACCCACUUGGGCUGUUAAUGUUUCCAGUGUUGUCGAAUGGAUUACGGUGAUGGCGUUGGUAUGGAAAUAUGGAGAAAGAAAGGGUUAUGUGUCAUGGAAAGGUCUCUCAUGAGGAAUGGUUGACAUUAGAAGAGAGUUUUGUUGAAUCUAAGAAGCAUAUAUGUCUUUGCAGAGAGAUGUACGUAUGGGGAGAGGAUUCUAGGAUCAAGCUCUGAGUAUGUGCAGAGCAAUAUUACUCGUUACUUAUCUGAUCCUCAAUACUAUUUCCAAGUGAAUGAUCAGUAACAAACUCAAGGUUGUUCUGUUUCCUUUCCUUCACCGGGCGAGCUUGUCUUCUCUUGUCUCUUUCUGUUUGAGACUUUCUCAGACCAGCCAUUAAGUAAAACUAGUUCGUGUUUUGCUUCAAACGAUCAGGGACACUGGGCUAGAAUCUCUGAACCAGUUGGGGGUAGGCUCUCAUACAAGCCUCCCAUAUAUGAUAUCAAUGCGUCAGACUUGUAAAUUCCCUUUAUGGCAUUUGGUACAUACGUUGUUCUUGCUGGUCUUUCACUGGGACUUAAUGGAAAGGGAUCUCAAAAUACAAGGCUUACAAGUUCUAAGCAGUGUGGUUGAUCUGAAACAGUCUGUUCAUGAAAUGCAAGUGCCCAUCACCUGUGAGGAAGAAACACUUUGGAUCAAGAUACUGUGAGGUAGAUUAUAGCUUGAUGAAGAUUUUGUAUUCAGUUCACUAACUACACACACAUUAGUAUGAG